AACCAACAGGGAUUGCCCUAGUAACGGCGAGUGAAGCGGCAACAGCUCAAAUUUGAAAUCUGGCUCUUUCAGAGUCCGAGUUGUAAUUUGCAGAGGGCGCUUUGGCUUUGGCAGCGGUCCAAGUUCCUUGGAACAGGACGUCACAGAGGGUGAGAAUCCCGUACGUGGUCGCUGGCUAUUGCCGUGUAAAGCCCCUUCGACGAGUCGAGUUGUUUGGGAAUGCAGCUCUAAAUGGGAGGUACAUUUCUUCUAAAGCUAAAUAUUGGCCAGAGACCGAUAGCGCACAAGUAGAGUGAUCGAAAGAUGAAAAGCACUUUGGAAAGAGAGUCAAACAGCACGUGAAAUUGUUGAAAGGGAAGCGCUUGCAGCCAGACUUGCUUGCAGUUGCUCAUCCGGGCUUUUGCCCGGUGCACUCUUCUGCAGGCAGGCCAGCAUCAGUUUGGGCGGUAGGAUAAAGGUCUCUGUCACGUACCUCUCUUCGGGGAGGCCUUAUAGGGGAGGCGACAUACUACCAGCCUGGACUGAGGUCCGCGCAUCU
rnacentral:rRNA from 1 species